GUCUACGGCCAUGCCAUCCUGAGUGUGCCCGAUCUCGUCUGUUCUCAGAUGGUAAGCAGGAUCAGGCUUGGUUAGUACUUGGAUGCUGUAGACG
rnacentral:rRNA from 1 species